rnacentral:rRNA from 1 species
CAGUAGCCGCGGUAAUACGUAGGUGGCAAGCGUUGUCCGGAAUUAUUGGGCGUAAAGGGCUCGCAGGCGGUUUCUUAAGUCUGAUGUGAAAGCCCCCGGCUCAACCGGGGAGGGUCAUUGGAAACUGGGAAACUUGAGUGCAGAAGAGGAGAGUGGAAUUCCACGUGUAGCGGUGAAAUGCGUAGAGAUGUGGAGGAACACCAGUGGCGAAGGCGACUCUCUGGUCUGUAACUGACGCUGAGGAGCGAAAGCGUGGGGAGCGAACAGGAUUAGAUACCCCUGUAGUCCAUGUCUCUUAUAA